rnacentral:tRNA from 2 species
GCCGGCAUAGCUCAGUUGGUAGAGCAGCGGUUUUGUAAACCGAAGGUCGUGGGUUCAAGUCCUACUGUCGGCACCA